CACCAGGGCCUGAAGUUCCCUCCUCUUAGGGAAGGCAAAAAGGAAUGAAUCUCAAGGGUUGUAUCCCAUGAUCCUGUCAGUACUAUACAGCCUGCUAUUAUGGAUACAUAGUAUUUUACAUCAGACACUGAAAUCUCCAGCACGACUUUCUGCUAAGGACUGCUUUUGCUAUUUGGGAGUCUUCUGUGCAUCUGUAUGAAAAACGUUGGACUAUUCUACUGAGACCUUGAGGUACACCAUGAAACAGAAAAAAUAGGAAGAAAAGCUUUACAGGAUAUGCAAGUCAGAACUCGGAGAAUAUAUACAAUGUCCUGUAUCAGUAAAGAUGUGAAAGAGGUGACAACCAGUAUCACGACCGGCUUUAAUAUUUUGGGAAACCACACAUUUCCCUUCAAACCCCAGCUACACAGAGGUCUGGUUUUAAAACUACCGCUUAGGGAAAUGAUACACCCAAAGCAACGAUCCCCUCGAGAAAAGGAAUAAUUUGAUCAAUUCUACAGAACCGUUCCCAUUCAAACGUUCCCAAAUCUGCAGAGUGAGCAAACGUUCAAGUUUCUACUAGCAAGAAGACAAUCUGCAGCCUUCUGGUUACUGGACUCUGAACUCUUCCCAGACUCACGAAGCGAGAACAUUCCGCGCAUCUUCGCGCCUGCUUCUCACACAAAGCCCCUGGUUGAAGAAAAGUCGCCCUAGGCGGGCGUCGGCACUCACGGCGGUGCGGCCCACCCGGGGUCUCUGCCCACGGCGCCCCUUUCGACCCUCCGGGGAGCCCUCCAAGCGCCCGGCCCCGGAGCGCCUCCACGCCGGUGCCCGCCCACGCCCCAACAGCUUCAGGCCGGGGCGCAUUUAGGCAGUGGAAUCAGGGGGCCACGGUCCCGGCCGGCCUCGCACCCCUAAGGGCAGCCCCCGACCUCGGCAGGCUCGCCAGCCGCUGCCCCCCGGGAGCCCAAGAGGGCCGGCCUCUGCUCGGUGCUCCGCCACCCGCGCUCGACACCGCCC
rnacentral:lncRNA from 1 species